rnacentral:rRNA from 1 species
UUUUAUAAGUGGUGAAGUGGGGACGAAGAAGGCUAGGUGAGCCAGGCGUUGGUUGUCCUGGUACUUGCAUGUAGGGGGGAAGACUUGGCAAAUCCGGUUUUCCAUAACUCUGAGGUGCGAAGUGGUUCUGACCUUUUGGUACAGAGAAGUCAUUGAUGCCCGGCUUCCAGGAAAAGCUGCUAGCCAUAACUUAUAGAGAACCGUACCGCAAACCGACACAGGUGGACAGGUAGAGAAUACUAAGGCGCUUGAGAGAACUCGGGUGAAGGAACUAGGCAAAAUGGUACCGUAACUUCGGGAGAAGGUACGCCCUUUCUGGUGAUGGGAUUUACUUUCAGAGCUGGAGAGGGCCGCAGAGACCAGGUGGCUGCGACUGUUUAUUAAAAACACAGCACUCUGCAAAUUCGUAAGAAGACGUAUAGGGUGUGACGCCUGCCCGGUGCCGGAAGGUUAAUUGAUGGGGUUAUCUUCGGAGAAGCUCUUGAUCGAAGCCCCGGUAAACGGCGGCCGUAACUAUAACGGUCCUAAGGUAGCGAAAUUCCUUGUCGGGUAAGUUCCGACCUGCACGAAUGGCGUAACGAUGGCCACACUGUCUCCACCCGAGACUCAGUGAAAUUGAAAUCGCUGUGAAGAUGCAGUGUACCCGCGGCUAGACGGAAAGACCCCGUGAACCUUUACUAUAGUUUUGCACUGGACUUUGAUGAUGACUGUGUAGGAUAGGUGGGAGGCUGUGAAGUGAGAACGCUAGUUCUCAUGGAGCCGCCCUUGAAAUACCACCCUGUUGUUAUUGAGGUUCUAACUUGGUCCAGUAAUCCUGGAUGAGGACAGUGUAUGAUGGGUAGUUUGACUGGGGCGGUCUCCUCCCAAAGAGUAACGGAGGAGCACAAAGGUACCCUCGGUACGGUCGGACAUCGUACCAAGAGUGUAAAGGCAAAAGGGUGCUUGACUGCGAGAGUGACGGCUCGAGCAGGAACGAAAGUUGGUCUUAGUGAUCCGGUGGUUCUGAAUGGAAGGGCCAUCGCUCAACGGAUAAAAGGUACUCCGGGGAUAACAGGCUGAUACCGCCCAAGAGUUCAUAUCGACGGCGGUGUUUGGCACCUCGAUGUCGGCUCAUCACAUCCUGGGGCUGAAGCAGGUCCCAAGGGUAUGGCUGUUCGCCAUUUAAAGUGGUACGCGAGCUGGGUUUAGAACGUCGUGAGACAGUUCGGUCCCUAUCUGCCGUGGGCGUAGGAAAAUUGAGAGGAGCUGCUCCUAGUACGAGAGGACCGGAGUGGACGAACCUCUGGUGCACCGGUUGUCACGCCAGUGGCAUGGCCGGGUAGCUAAGUUCGGACGGGAUAACCGCUGAAAGCAUCUAAGCGGGAAGCCUCCCUCAAGAUGAGUUUUCCCAUGAAGCCCGUUGAAGACUACGACGUUGAUAGGCAAGGUGUGGAAGCGCAGUAAUGCGUGAAGCUAACUUGUACUAAUUGGCUGAUUGUCUUGACCAU